rnacentral:lncRNA from 1 species
GCUAUACAAACAUUAUAACCUCUGUACGGUGACUUCCUUAGCAGUUCCUUCUAUUCUUCCCAUUCUGCUCCAGCCCUGGUUUAACUCAGGUAUUCUGUCACUGUUUUAUCUUUCAGAGAUCCUGAUAUUAUCUACAUUAUUACUUGGAACUUCUAUCUUUUCAAGCAUGUAGAGCGAUUCAAAAUGGAAAUAAAGGAGAACGGUAUGGCCAGAGAUGUAGCCCGUUACAACAGGCAGCUGUGGCAACAAGGCUAACUCCUGCUUCCAGACCCUGUGCAUCCAUUGAACAGUGUGGUCAGCUACUUGGGAAAAAUCUGUUCCUGCACUGAAGAACCUCUUGUACUACCAAGUUACAGGAAGACAGAUUCCAUUCAAAAAAUAAAAGCAAGCUACUCAGUCUCUAUUGUUGCCUCCUCUCUAAGGACCUUAUUUGGAGAAGCUCUCAGAAGAGGCACCUAAGACAGGUGAGGUUAAUUUUCCCUUGAAAAUGUACGUAGAGAGAGUCCUGAUGGCUC